AUUGAACGCUGGCGGCAGGCCUAACACAUGCAAGUCGAACGGUAACAGGAAGAAGCUUGCUUCUUUGCUGACGAGUGGCGGACGGGUGAGUAAUGUCUGGGAAACUGCCUGAUGGAGGGGGAUAACUACUGGAAACGGUAGCUAAUACCGCAUAACGUCGCAAGACCAAAGAGGGGGACCUUCGGGCCUCUUGCCAUCGGCUGUGCCCAGAUGGGAUUAGCUAGUAGGUAGGGUAACGGCUCACCUAGGCGACGAUCCCUAGCUGGUCUGAGAGGAUGACCAGCCACACUGGAACUGAGACACGGUCCAGACUCCUACGGGAGGCAGCAGUGGGGAAUAUUGCACAAUGGGCGCAAGCCUGAUGCAGCCAUGCCGCGUGUAUGAUGAAGGCCUUCGGGUUGUAAAGUACUUUUAUCGGGGAAGAAGGAAGGUAUAAUAAUAUCUGCGCUUAUUGACGGUACCUGCACAGAAAGCAACGGCUAACUACGUG
rnacentral:rRNA from 1 species